CUGCUUCACAGUUCCGGGAGGAACAAACACACAUGGCUCAGCAGGUUAAUGACUGAAGUAGAUGGUAUGUGCUGUCUACCAGGCUGCCAAGAGAUCUCUUCCUGAGAACAACAGGAGAAACUGCUCCCAACAGUGCUGAAAGGUGCUGAGAUCUGUGAGGCACGCUGCACUAUCUGCCUCUGCAGAGCAAAGAGGUGGCGGUCUGGCUCUCUGGGGCCUUUUUGUAGUUUAUGGGAAACCGGCUCCACUCAUUGCUGUGUAGCAACCACAGGAAGUAAAAUGGGGCUGUGUGCAGAGCUGGUUCUUCUAGUAGCCUCUCCAGUGGAGGUGGGAAGGUAAGGACAAUGUGACCAGGUAAUAGCAGCAGCUUCACAUUCAGACGGGAGAGACAUUGU
rnacentral:lncRNA from 1 species